rnacentral:rRNA from 1 species
AGUUCGGAUUGUAGGCUGAAACUCGCCUACAUGAAGCUGGAGUUACUAGUAAUCGCAGAUCAGAAUGCUGCGGUGAAUGCGUUCCCGGGUCUUGUACACACCGCCCGUCACACCACGGAAGUUGGGGGCGCCGAAGCCACUUAGCUAACCCUUUUGGGAAGCGAGUGUCGAAGGUGAAAUCAAUAACUGGGGUGAAGUCGUAACAAGGUAGC